rnacentral:rRNA from 1 species
AACGAACGCUGGCGGCAGGCUUAACACAUGCAAGUCGAGCGCCCCGCAAGGGGAGCGGCAGACGGGUGAGUAACGCGUGGGAACGUACCCUUACCUUCGGGAUAGCUCCGGGAAACUGGAAUUAAUACCGAAUGUGCCCUUUGGGGGAAAGAUUUAUCGGAUAAGGAUCGGCCCGCGUUGGAUUAGCUAGUUGGUGGGGUAAAGGCCUACCAAGGCGACGAUCCAUAGCUGGUCUGAGAGGAUGAUCAGCCACAUUGGGACUGAGACACGGCCCAAACUCCUACGGGAGGCAGCAGUGGGGAAUAUUGGACAAUGGGCGCAAGCCUGAUCCAGCCAUGCCGCGUGAGUGAUGAAGGCCUUAGGGUUGUAAAGCUCUUUCACCGGAGAAGAUAAUGACGGUAUCCGGAGAAGAAGCCCCGGCUAACUUCGUG